rnacentral:rRNA from 1 species
GUAUCUUAUACUCUGAAUGUGUCAUAGAAUGUUCAUGUUGCCUUAAAACGCAAUCAAAUACAACUUUCAACAACGGAUCUCUUGGCUCUCGCAUCGAUGAAGAACGCAGCGAAAUGCGAUAAGUAAUGUGAAUUGCAGAUUUUCAGUGAAUCAUCGAAUCUUUGAACGCACCUUGCGCUCCUUGGUAUUCCGAGGAGCAUGCCUGUUUGAGUGUCAUUAAAUUCUCAACCCCACCGAUUUGCUUCGGGGGGAUUGGACUUGGAGCGUGCUGUUUUAUUGUCUGCUCCUCUUUAAAUGCAUCAGUGGAGAGAAACUUGCCCCAGUGUGAUAAUCCUGUUGCGCUGUGGUGGGUGAAAGUCUGCUUCCAACCGUCCCUCCGGGGACAUAUGUCAUCUUAUUUUGACCUCAAAUCAGGUAGGACUACCCGCUGAACUUAAGCAUAUC